UGGCUCAGUGGUAGAGUGCUUGCCUUGCAUGCAUGAGGCCCUGGGUUCAUUCCUCAG
rnacentral:tRNA from 1 species